rnacentral:misc_RNA from 1 species
AACUUUCAACAACGGAUCACUUGGCUCUCGCAUCGAUGAAGAACGCAGCGAAUGCGAUACGUAAUGUGAAUUGCAGAAUUCAGUGAAUCAUCGAAUCUUUGAACGCACCUUGCGCCCCUUGGUAUUCCGAGGGGCACACCCGUUUGAGUGUCGUGAAUACUCUCAACCUUCUUGGUUUCUUUGACCACGAAGGCUUGGACUUUGGAGGUUUUUCUUGCUGGCCUCUUUAGAAGCCAGCUCCUCCUAAAUGAAUGGGUGGGGUCCGCUUUGCUGAUCCUCGACGUGAUAAGCAUUUCUUCUACGUCUCAGUGUCAGCUCGGAACCCGCUUUCCAACCGUCUUUGGACAAAGACAAUGUUCGAGUUGCGACUCGACCUUACAAACCUUGACCUCAAAUCGGGUGAGACUACCCGCUGAACUUAAGCAUAUCAAUAAGCGGAGGCU